UACGUAGGGUGCAAGCGUUAAUCGGAAUUACUGGGCGUAAAGCGUGCGCAGGCGGUUUUGUAAGUCUGUCGUGAAAUCCCCGGGCUCAACCUGGGAAUGGCGAUGGAGACUGCAAGGCUAGAAUCUGGCAGAGGGGGGUAGAAUUCCACGUGUAGCAGUGAAAUGCGUAGAGAUGUGGAGGAACACCGAUGGCGAAGGCAGCCCCCUGGGUCAAGAUUGACGCUCAUGCACGAAAGGCGUGGGGAGCAAACAGGAUUACGAA
rnacentral:rRNA from 1 species